ensembl:lncRNA
AGGGGCAGCCUCUGCUCCACCACAGCCCCACGCGGCCAGAUCCUCCAACUUUUCAAGAGAUACUGGAAAUCCACAAUUGUACGUGAAAUUUUAAAAAGUUGACUUUAAUUUUGUAAACAUUGUGUGGCUCAAAGAAAAUGCUGUUUGGCCUGGGGGGUGCCAGUGUGUGACCCCUGCCAGAGAGGACGAGGAAGAUGGGACCGAGGAGGAAAGAGGAGGGAGGGGAAGGGAGAGAACAGAAAAGGAAGAGUGAAAGGAGGAGUUUGGGGCAAACUUAUGAUAAUCUUGCUUAUGAUAAUCACCAUUCAUUCAACAAGCAUUUAUUAAGCACCUACUAUAUGCCAGGUGCUGUGCUGGUGCUAAGAGAACAGAUUUGAAUGAGAUGUGGACCGUUGCCCCCGCAAGAGCUUAUAGCUGUGUUCUCAUCUUGUCUGAAUUUUAAAAUGAGAGAGCUGAGGCAGAAAGAGUCCCCCCACCAUGGCUCAGAAGACCUGUGCUCCUCCAGCUCUGAGCCCGGCUCACUGCCACCUUGGGCAGAUCGGCCGAGCCCUCGGAUAUGGCUUUGCUUCUUAAGGGUCAGGGGCCGAGUGGGCACGGCUUUCUCUGCCCACUUGCCUUUGCAGUGGCACAAGUGGCCACACCAAGCCUGGUGUUGGUCCUCCUAAGAAUCGCAGGGCCCUACCCCAGCAUCCCCAAGCACUGACACCAGGUACUUUGACAUUCCAGCUGGUCGCUUCUCCCUCUGCACUGGGCCUGUAAUUCUGGAAGCUGCCGCCAGGGGGACGGUGUUGUCAGUAUUACCCGACACUGGGGCGAGUUGCUUAGAAAAGCAGGACCUGCUCCAGCCCAGGCUCCUGCUUUGUCUCCGAUGACCUGCCUUUGAAGCCUGGAAGUCCAGCAUUCUUCACCAAACGAAGUGUGGGAGCCUGCGGUGGCCCCACAUCGCGGAACACAGAUGCAGAGAGACCCUGUGGCUGCUGUCCCUUCGAGGGGAGCUGGUGGCUUCUCUGCAAGAUGCCAGCCUGAUGGGACUGCAUGUGGACAUCAACACCGUCACUAUCACCAUCCCAAAUCCAAGGUUCGGGAAGGGAGUUGCCUGUCUCAGUGGCUAUGCCGAGGACCAUUCCAUCCCACCAUCCCCAGGACCAGAGACCCCUCCAGCAGGACGCCAUCUGCUGCCUCUUCCCAGUUCCAGGCUGCAGGAUCAGCUGCCUCGGGAGCCUCCGGGAAGGGCUUUCUCAGAGCUGCGCUCGCCAGCCUUUCGAUGGGCUGGCCAAUGCAAGUCCGCCUGUGGUUUCCUCUGAAGGGCCCAUCCCAAGAGGCCUUGGAGGACCCUCUUACCCCCAUUCUUCCAGAGGGAACCCCGCUCUGACCUCUGGCCAUGUCUCCUCCUCCUCCAAUUCAGAACACUCCCCAGAGAAAGCUGGGGCCCCCCAGAGCUCCUAUCUGAGGGCAGCCCCCCUGCCAGCUGUCCUGCAUGGCUCACAGCCUCCCAGGGCCUUGAGACUCAGCAAAAGGAGGCAGCAGGGAGAGUCAGUGGCUGUGCACACAAACAGAGAGUAGGAAACUGAGGCAUGCCUCAAAGGACUUGUGUCUGGAGCCUGGGGGCCAGCCUGGAGAACCAGCUGGAGGUCACAGCUCCCACAGGCCCUCCUCUGGGCUGCCAUCCUCAGGGCAGCUGAAACCCACAUCCUCCUAUUUCUGAUGCUUUUUCUCUCUCCACUCCUCUCUCCCUGAAGACGGAGUUUGGGCCAUUCCUGCAAACAGCCAAACCUCUGGAAGAAGCAGGGAAGCUACCAUCUCCCUUUUCCCAGAGCAAUGCAGGAUCAGCGUGGUCCCCAGGUUCCCCCGGGGGAAGCGGGGUUAUCUAGACACCUCUCCUUCAGCUGCACUGUCCUCAGAGUCCUAGGAGUUGUCGAGGCUAGCCCUGGGUUCCCGCCAGUCAUCCCUGCCCCCAUGGUCCUCACUGUGCAUUUGUCCUCAGAUGUCUCCUCUCCUCCACCUCCUCUCUGGGGUCUGAACAGUCCACAGCACUCCUGGUCUCAGGGUCCUCUGUCACCCUAACUGACUGUUUAGGAACUAUAAGGCCCGAGCAGGACCCCGCUCAGCCACCAGGAAGUCCCCUCCAGCUGGGAGGGCUGUCAGUGGGCUGUGACUGCAACCGAGUCCACGCAGGGGGCCAGGCCAGGCCGGCAAGGAGGUCCUGCCUUUGACAAGGCCCUCGCUGACCACUCUGGCUGAAGAGGCAUUGGGUUCCCACUGUCCCCUAAAGAGCCCCAGGAAACACUCUUCACAAUGGGGGCUGCGGGGCCACCCCAGAGGGGUCCUGGCCUUCCUGGGAAGGGGGCCGCAGGGGCCCUGGACCCAUCAUCCCCAGAAACAACUCAGGACAUGGAGGGGCCAGGACUUGCUCUCCUGCUGGGGAAGCUUGUCGUAGUCACUGCCCCAUGGCAAAUACCUCCAAGGGGUGGUGGCAGCAGCCAGACCCGUACCUGUCUGAGGGCCUUGGGACUCGAGCCCGUGGGGAGAAACAGAGUGGGACCAGCACUUCCUCUGCCAGCUCUUACUGCUGAGCAGCUGCUGGCAGAAGGCAGUUGCCUGACAGCCCUUCUGGAGAGCCCUCUGGCCUCCACCUCCAGGAAGCCUGCAGCCUGACCUGUGGGAGGGUCAGCUAGAGUCCGAGGCCCAGAGUCAGCCCCAAGCUGACCAUGGGAACAGGAUGAGUGGGGGGCUGCCUAUGCAUCCAGCAAAUGCUGACCCCAUGGGCUCCUGUGGACAUUUCCUCGCCUGGCCUGGCCAGGGGACAUCCCCACAGGAGCAGCUGACAGAGUCCACGUUAGCCACCACCCCUGAAAGUCCCCGGCCUCCUGAGCUUCAGAAUGUCUGGAGGGGCUUCUGAGAGAACGCCUCGCCAGGGUGAGUCAUGGGAGUACCCCAGGGGACACCAGGCACAAAGGAGUGGGGAGGGUGGUGUCUUGGCAUCCUUCCCGUCAGCCUGGACCUCCCCUGAGUGCAGGAUAACACCCCUUGGCCUCUCCCUGCCAGCCCAGUGUCUGCGUGCUUGUCCUCUUGCUGUUAAAUGUGGUGAGGCAAUGGGGGGUGAGGGGGUGAGGGGCAGGGUGCAGGCUCUGCAGCCAGGCUGCUGUGGUCCAAGUCCUAUCCCACCACUCUUUAGCUGUGUGACCUUGGGCAAGGCACUAACCUCUCUGUGCCUCAGUUUCCUGAUCAGUCAAAUGGGAGGAUGAUAAUCAUUCCUGCCUGAUGGGCUGUGGAGGGGUAAGUGAGGAAAUGAAUAUAGAGCCUUUAGCACAGGGCCGGGCACACAGCAUAUGCUCAGAACCUGUGAGUUGUACUUGAGGUUAUUGCUGCUAUCGAGGCAAAUCAGAGCAGCCCAAUUCUUGGGCUCCCAGGAGAGCAUGGAAGGCACAGUUCAAACAUCUUGCGAGGGGGGUGGUAAGAUUGUAUGACGUGAGACGCCGCUACCCCAGGCCCCAGGGGGCCAUGACCCCAAGUCUCUAAAGGACCCCGUGGGAGGAGAAUGAGGAGUGUUACUGUUUUGCCUUCAUGACUCACCACUCCCUUCCUCUGGUUCCCAUGGCAGCAGCUGGUACCCUGCUGGCCUGGACUGCUCCAGUGACCCCUGUUGUCCCUGGGGGGACAUCAGCGCUCCUAGGCACCCUGGCCCAGAAGCCCAGCCAUGGUCUGAGCCAGAGCAGCACCUGGUGCUUCCCUGGAAGGAUGGCACCCCCGCCCCUCCGGGCCAGCCCAUCACUGGAAGUGGGAUUUGAAACACAGCCAAGGAGAGGAGGCCGUCGGCAACGCCCGGAAUGCGAAACAAAUAAAUAAAUAAAUAAUCAGGGUUGUCUUGGC